UACGUAGGGUGCGAGCGUUACUCGGAAUUACUGGGCGUAAAGCGUGCGCAGGCGGCUUUGCAAGACAGAUGUGAAAUCCCCGGGCUUAACCUGGGAACUGCAUUUGUGACUGCAUGGCUGGAGUGCGGCAGAGGGGGAUGGAAUUCCGCGUGUAGCAGUGAAAUGCGUAGAUAUCGGAAGGAACACCAGUGGCGACCGCGGCUUCCUGGUCCAGCACCGACGUUCAGGCACGAAAGCGUGGGGAGCAAACGGG
rnacentral:rRNA from 1 species